rnacentral:rRNA from 1 species
GACGAACGCUGGCGGCGUGCUUAACACAUGCAAGUCGAACGGAAAGGCCCUGCUUUUGUGGGGUGCUCGAGUGGCGAACGGGUGAGUAACACGUGAGUAACCUGCCCUUGACUUUGGGAUAACUUCAGGAAACUGGGGCUAAUACCGGAUAGGAGCUCCUGCUGCAUGGUGGGGGUUGGAAAGUUUCGGCGGGUGGGGAUGGACUCGCGGCUUACCAGCUUGUUGGUGGGGUAGUGGCUUACCCAGGCUUUGGCGGGUAGCCGGCCUGAGAGGGUGACCGGGCACCUUGGGACUACGAUACGGCGCAGACUCGUACGGGAGGCAACAGUCGGGAAUAUUGCACAAUGGGCGGAAGCCUGAUGCGGCAGCGCCGCGUGCGUGAUGACGGCCUUCGGGUUGUGAACCGCUUUCGCCUGUGACGAAGCGUGAGUGACGGUAAUGGGUAAAGAAGCACCGGCUAACUACGUG